UAUAGUGUUGGGGUUCCACCUUUUUCCAUUCCGAACAGAGAAGUUAAGCCCAAUUACGCCGAUGGUACUGCAGUUUGUGGGAGAGUAGGUCGCCGCCUGUU
rnacentral:rRNA from 1 species